rnacentral:snRNA from 1 species
AUCCCUCCAAAAAUAGGC